CAGCAGCCGCGGGAAUACGGAGGGGGCUAGCGUUGUUCGGAAUUACUGGGCGUAAAGCGCACGUAGGCGGCUUGGUAAGUUAGAGGUGAAAGCCUGGAGCUCAACUCCAGAAUCGCCUUUAAGACUGCCGAGCUAGCAGGUGAGAGAGGUAAGUGGAAUUCCGAGUGUAGAGGUGAAAUUCGUAGAUAUUCGGAAGAACACCAGUGGCGAAGGCGGCUUACUGGCUCAUACUGGACGCUGAGGUGCGAAAGCGUGGGGAGCAAACAGGAUUAGAUACCCGAGUAGUCCCUGUCUCUUAUAC
rnacentral:rRNA from 1 species